rnacentral:rRNA from 1 species
UACGGGGGGGGCAAGCGUUGUUCGGAAUUACUGGGCGUAAAGGGUUUGUAGGUGGCUUGCUAAGUCAGACGUGAAAUCCCUCAGCUUAACUGGGGAACUGCGUCUGAGACUGGCGAGCUUGAGUGCAGGAGAGGAACGCGGAAUUCCAGGUGUAGCGGUGAAAUGCGUAGAUAUCUGGAGGAACACCGGUGGCGAAGGCGGCGUUCUGGACUGCAACUGACACUGAGGCACGAAGGCCAGGGGAGCAAACGGG